GUAUAGUACCGUGAGGGAAAGGUGAAAAGAACCCCGGGAGGGGAGUGAAAUAGAACCUGAAACCCUGCACUUACAAGCUGUGGAAGCACAUUUCUUGUGUGACCGCGUACUUUUUGUAGAACGGGCCAACGAGUUACGUUAAGUAGCAAGGUUAAGCACUUAAGGUGUGGAGCCGUAGCGAAAGCGAGUUUUAACUGAGCGUUCAGUUACUUGACGUAGACCCGAAACCGGGCGACCUACCCAUGAGCAGGAUGAAGCGAAAGUAAAAUUUCGUGGAGGUCCGAACCCACGAGCGUUGAAAAGCUCGGGGAUGACUUGUGGGUAGCGGUGAAAUUCCAAUCGAGCCCGGAGAUAGCUGGUUCUCCCCGAAAUAGCUUUAGGGCUAGCCUCAAGGUGAGAGAUACGGAGGUAGAGCACUGAAUGUCCUAGGGGGUAUUGCACCUACCGAAGACUAUCAAACUCCGAAUGCCGUCAUCUUAUACUUGGGAGUCAGACUGUGGGUGAUAAGAUUCAUAGUCGAAAGGGCAACAGCCCAGAUCGUCAGCUAAGGUCCCUAAAUGUAAGUUAAGUGGUAAAGGAUGUGGGAUUGCACAGACAACCAGGAUGUUGGCUUAGAAGCAGCCACUCAUUCAAAGAGUGCGUAAUAGCUCACUGGUCGAGUGAUCCUGCGCCGAAGAUUUCCGGGGCUAAAACUUACUACCGAAGCUACGGCAUCAGUAAUGAUGGGUAGGGGAGCUUCCCAUACGGGUUGAAGCAUGACCGUAAGGACAUGUGGACAGUAUGGGAGUGAGAAUGUUGGCAUGAGUAGCGAGAUGUGGGUGAGAAUCCCACAGGCCGUAAACCCAAGGUUUCCAGGGGAAGGUUCGUCCGCCCUGGGUUAGUCGGGACCUAAGCUGAGGCCGAAAGGCGUAGGUGAUGGACAACAGGUUGAUAUUCCUGUAC
rnacentral:rRNA from 1 species